GCGACAUGGAAAACCCCAGUGCACCCUUCAAUGGCAGCACAAAGGCCUUCAUAGUCCAGCAAAUCUGUCUUGAAUAGUUUCAGAUUGUCCGCAGCGUUAUCCAAUUUCUUUAGAUGUGCGUUCUUGCUAUCACUUGGGUCUCUUGCAGUUCCAUACACUAUGUAACCCUUCGAAAGAAGAAGCUUCACUAACCAUGAUGCCAAGUACCAUCCUGCACCCGUCACACAUACUUUGUCUUU
rnacentral:misc_RNA from 1 species